AUUGAACGCUGGCGGCAUGCUUUACACAUGCAAGUCGGACGAGUGGCGAACGGGUGAUUAACAUACCGGAACGUACCGAGUAAUGGGGUAUAACUAAUCGAAAGAUUAGCAAAUACCGCAUAUUAUUCGAGCGGCCGAUAUCUGAUUAGCUGGUUGUUGGGGGAAAGGCCUACCAAGGCGACGAUCAGUAGUGGGUCUGAGAGGAUGAUCAGCAACACUGGGACUGAUACACGGCCCAGACUCCUACGGGCGGCAGAAGUGGGGAAUUUUGGACAAUGGGCGCAAGCCUGAUCCAGCCAGGCCGCGUGUCUGAAGAAGGCCUUCGGGUUGUAAAGGACUUUUGUCAGGGAAGCGGUACCUGAAGAAUAAGCACCGGCUAACUACGUGCCAGCAGCCGCGGUAAUAC
rnacentral:rRNA from 1 species